UCGAGAAUCUUCCGCAAUGGACGAAAGUCUGACGGAGCGACGUUACGUGAAUGAAGAAGCCCUUCGGGGUGUAAAGUUCUUUUAUAUGGGAGGAAGGCGCAAGCCAGACAGUACCAUAUGAAUAAGGGGAUCCUAAUUCUGUGCCAGCAGGAGCGGUAAUACAGAAUCCCCAAGCGUUACCCGGAUUUAUUGGGCGUAAAGGGUCCGUAGGUGGUAAAGUAAGUUUCGAGUUAAAUCUCAUCGGCUCAACCUUUGAAUUGCUCGAAAUACUGCUAUACUUGAGGAUGUUAGGGGUGAACGGAACCGACGGAGUAGGGGUGAAAUCCGUUGAUAUCGUCGGGAACACCAAAAGCGAAGGCAGUUCACUAGGACAAUCCUGACACUGAGGGACGAAAGCGUGGGGAGCAAAAAGG
rnacentral:rRNA from 1 species